AAAUUAUACUAAAACAAUUAUUCACCUCAGGCUCGGUGAUUAUCGUGAAUAAAAACCUCGACUUCGUCUCGGUUUUUAUUCACCGAUAAUCACCUCGCUUUCGGCGAAUAAUUGUUAAAUAUAUAUGUAUGUAUGUAUGUAUGUAUGUAGCGGUUUUUGAGUAGUUUUUAUAUGUAGCGGUUUUUGUACGCUCAUAAUUGCGGUAGGUGUUUACGUAUACUAUAACUGUAUAAGGAUCUCAUCUCUGUGUUUCUGAGGUAAGGUAUAAACGCGAAAAUUGUGCCGAAAUGUUAAGGUUGGUAAUGCCAAUGGUAUAUGGAUAGAAAUUGGUAUGGAGGAGGAGUGUAUAUGUCGAGUAUAAAUGUUAACAUGAUAUAUGUAUUUAGGUAAAAUGUUAACAUGAUAUGUAUCUUACGAUUGUAUUUAGGUUUUUAUUAAUGUAUUAUAUAACAGUCGUUUAAUAUUGUG